rnacentral:lncRNA from 1 species
UUUUAUGUAUCCAAAAUUGUUUUCAAAAUAAUUAUUUCCGCAUAAAGUUUAUGAAAGUUUGGUUAACAAGCCCACCAACCGAAUGGCUUAGUACUACCUGGGAAUGGCUCUAGUCUCUUGAAGCUACCACCAGAAUAGCUAUUUUUAGCUGGUCGAUGGUGCAGUUUGAGAAUGGGUACACAAUUGAGACCAUGUUUGAUGGAAGCAAGCUUGGAAUUUGAACCCUACCCAAUUAAGGUUAUGGC